rnacentral:lncRNA from 1 species
GCCCGGGGGACCAAGCCUCGGGGCGCCAUGGCAAAGUCGGGCUGAGACAUUUUGGGCCGCCACACCCAGACGUGAUUCUCUACCCGCCUCCAGCCUGGACGUGUUUGAGGCCCGGACUCUAGGACUGCUCCAGCCCUUGGUCCGGGAUGCCCCGGCCUGGCCCUGAAGUCCCGCCCGCUGGUUUGGGGAGAACGUGGCGUCAGGUUGGCUCCGAGGCGAGAAGCGCGGAGCGUGGCCGUGGUCACAGUUGGCCAUGAACGCUUUCUUGGGUGGCAGUGAAGGGUGAAGGGAAGGGAGGUGGCGUAAUGCCGCCGGACGCCCGGGACUAGGAGGGACGGCAUUUGGCAAAUCCUACGCGGUGUUUGCUAAGUGGUGGCCGAGAGUCGGUUUCCUCGGCCUCGUUGGGUCGUUCGCAAGGGAGGCCAGUGCCCUGCAAAGUGAGGCCGCACUGGUUUUCUCAAGACUGAGGGGGCGUCCGAAAUGGAACAGAUAUUUGUUGAAUGGAUGACUGAACAAAGGGAAUGCCUUUAGGGAUGUUUUGGGGGAGCCCUCGGAUCCGCACGAGGGCCUGGAGCUGGGGUCGGCAGGCGAGCCUCGCAGCCCGCGGGUCCUGCGGAGCCCGGAGCGACUCCGGGCCCGGCGUCCUGGGCGCUCGAACUCCGCGGGCUCCGACUCUCGCGGUGCUGGGGACCUCGACGCUGCAACUGCGGCCGGGAGCCGCGUUAAGGGAGUCUGCAGUGGGUAGGCAGCACGUGCCCGGCGGGCUAAAGCAAAAGUAGCGUGGGGAUUUUAAGGGAAAAUUUACAAAGUUUGAUUUAAGAAACGUCAAAAACUUAGCAACAAAAUGAAUCUUAAAGCCAUCCACUUCUAAAUGUCUGUAUUUGUGUUUAUACCCCGCAGGUCUUCUCUCCCUCGUACUGUUUCUCGAAAAGGAGGGUAAACAGUUUUCCGCACCUUUACGUUGGGGAGUUGUAAAGUCAGUAAGAUAACAAGAAACAACUGCGAGAAAUCAGUGACUGUAAUUGCUUGUAAAUAUUUCCACCAAAAUAAUGAGUAGUGUUUGAUGGGGUCAGUUUAAUCAACAAGUUCAUUACCAAAUCAGUCGUUCUUUCAUUAUGUUGUAAGAAGUAUACAGUUAAAACUAGACCCAGAGCACGCUAACAUUAAUCUGGCUGUUAAGACUACUUUAUAAAAUGUUAUAUACAGUGUAUUUUCAAAUUCUUUAAGCGAUCAAAACCCACUUGCUAUAUAGAUUUUUUUUCAUCUGAAAUUGCGAAAAUUAUUUUCUCUCCUUUUCAGUUUUUCUACCAAGUAACUAAAACUUCGCAUUGGGCAUUUUUUCUAUUUUUGAGAUAUGUUUUCAAAGAAAAGUUAGAGUAGAAUGAAAAUGAGAAUCUUUGGAUACAAAUGAGAAAAAUCUAAUGUUAUAUGAAAAUUCUAUUCUUAAUCAAUUUGAAAUGUUCAUAUGUUACAGAAAACAGCAAACCAAUGCUUAAUGAGAAAUGAAACACUUAUGAAUCUUGGCUGGCCUGCGGCCUAGUGGUUAAGUUCAGCGUGCUCUGCUUUGGUGGCCCGGAUCCCAGUUAUGGACCUACACAACUCAUCAGCCAUGCUGUGGUGGUGACCCACAUACAAAACAGAGGAGGAUUGGCAUGGAUGUUAGCUCAAGGCUAAUCUUCCUCAAGCAAAAUAAGCAAAUUGGCAACAGAUGUCAGCUGAGGCUUAAUCUUCCUCAGGAAAGUAAAAUUAUUUGCAUGAAGGGUUCUGUCUGCACUCAGUAAUUUCAAUGAUUCUGCCUUUCUGGUGGUGAUGUUAACUUUGAUCACUUGGUUUAGGUGGUGUCUGCUGCUUUCUCCACUGUAGAGUUACUAUUUUUCUCCUUGUAAUUAAUAAAUAUUAUAUGGAGAGAUGCCUUGAUGUGUUACAAAUAUCCUGUUUCUCAUCGUAAUUUCACCUGCUAAUUUUAGCCAGAAGGCAUUGAUGGUUCUUGCCUGAAACAAUUGGUGUUUACCUGAUGCUAAGUAUUUUCCUCAUUUGUUCUGUAGUUAUUAUUUGGAAUUCUUCGGUAAAAAAGAGCUAUCCUUUCCCCCCAUUUAUGUCAGAUAGACUUAUGGAUAUUUAAGAAAAUUAUUAUCUUAAGCCGUAGGAAGUAUAUAUAGAGGUUGAGAGCGCAGACUCUGGAAUCAGAUGACCUGGAUUUAAUUAUUCUGUGUGCCAGUUGCGGGACUUUGUCAAGCUACGUAACUGCUCUGUGCCUUAGUUUCCUCAUUUCUAAGUGGAGAAAAUGACCCCCACCUUAGUUUGGUGUGAGAAUUAGGGGAGAUAAUACAUGUAGUCUUUAGGCUAGCUUUAAUUACUCUUUCUUAGCAAAUAUUUUGUACUGUGCUUAGUUUUACUAUUUAUAAGUUUCCCCACCCACAAAUUGAAUAUAAAAAAUAUUUGUCAUGUGCUUGCUUCCCUGAGAAAUUGUUAAAAUUCACAAAAUGAAUUUAAAAGUGCUUUGUGGUGUUAAGGAGAUGUAUAAGUUCUUAUUUCUGAAAUUAUAUAUGUAUAUUGCUAAGAUCCGUUUGGUGAUCAUGAUUUUGUUCUUGGGCUGUUCUUUGUGUUAGAAAUGUAGAUGACUAUAAAAUGUGAUAGAAUUAUUUUUUACAUUUUAG